GGGAGUGUGGUGGAAUCGGCAUACACAUACGGUUUAAGCCCGUAUGCCCUCUGGGAUUGAGAGUUCAAAUCUCUCCACUCCUACCA
rnacentral:tRNA from 1 species